rnacentral:lncRNA from 1 species
UGAGUUUAAUAUUUUUAAAACCUUUACGGUUAUUAACUAUCAUAUCAACCAUGUUUCAGAAAGUGAGGGAGGGAUGUCAUGGAGAGAAGUUGCCAUAAAUGUUCACAUUUCACAAUCUAGCUGUCGAAGCAGAAGAAUCUCAAGUCAAACAAACUUCAGUUAUUCAGUCAAUUCUCUUUCUCUUUGUAUAUAUUCCACCUUUGUCACUCCAUUGUUUGUAUAAAACUAUUAAAAUGGCAACCUCCCAUUUUCUGGGUGUAGUUCUACCGAGG